rnacentral:rRNA from 1 species
CGAUGAAGGACGUGCUAAUCUGCGAUAAGCGUCGGUAAGGUGAUAUGAACCGUUAUAACCGGCGAUUUCCGAAUGGGGAAACCCAGUGUGUUUCGACACACUAUCAUUAACUGAAUCCAUAGGUUAAUGAGGCGAACCGGGGGAACUGAAACAUCUAAGUACCCCGAGGAAAAGAAAUCAACCGAGAUUCCCCCAGUAGCGGCGAGCGAACGGGGAGCAGCCCAGAGCCUGAAUCAGUGUGUGUGUUAGUGGAAGCGUCUGGAAAGGCGCGCGAUACAGGGUGACAGCCCCGUACACAAAAAUGCACAUAUUGUGAGCUCGAUGAGUAGGGCGGGACACGUGGUAUCCUGUCUGAAUAUGGGGGGACCAUCCUCCAAGGCUAAAUACUCCUGACUGACCGAUAGUGAACCAGUACCGUGAGGGAAAGGCGAAAAGAACCCCGGCGAGGGGAGUGAAAAAGAACCUGAAACCGUGUACGUACAAGCAGUGGGAGCACGCUUCGGCGUGUGACUGCGUACCUUUUGUAUAAUGGGUCAGCGACUUAUAUUCUGUAGCAAGGUUAACCGAAUAGGGGAGCCGAAGGGAAACCGAGUCUUAACUGGGCGUUAAGUUGCAGGGUAUAGACCCGAAACCCGGUGAUCUAGCCAUGGGCAGGUUGAAGGUUGGGUAACACUAACUGGAGGACCGAACCGACUAAUGUUGAAAAAUUAGCGGAUGACUUGUGGCUGGGGGUGAAAGGCCAAUCAAACCGGGAGAUAGCUGGUUCUCCCCGAAAGCUAUUUAGGUAGCGCCUCGUGAAUUCAUCUCCGGGGGUAGAGCACUGUUUCGGCAAGGGGGUCAUCCCGACUUACCAACCCGAUGCAAACUGCGAAUACCGGAGAAUGUUAUCACGGGAGACACACGGCGGGUGCUAACGUCCGUCGUGAAGAGGGAAACAACCCAGACCGCCAGCUAAGGUCCCAAAGUCAUGGUUAAGUGGGAAACGAUGUGGGAAGGCCCAGACAGCCAGGAUGUUGGCUUAGAAGCAGCCAUCAUUUAAAGAAAGCGUAAUAGCUCACUGGUCGAGUCGGCCUGCGCGGAAGAUGUAACGGGGCUAAACCAUGCACCGAAGCUGCGGCAGCGACGCUGAUGCGUUGUUGGGUAGGGGAGCGUUCUGUAAGCCUGCGAAGGUGUGCUGUGAGGCAUGCUGGAGGUAUCAGAAGUGCGAAUGCUGACAUAAGUAACGAUAAAGCGGGUGAAAAGCCCGCUCGCCGGAAGACCAAGGGUUCCUGUCCAACGUUAAUCGGGGCAGGGUGAGUCGACCCCUAAGGCGAGGCCGAAAGGCGUAGUCGAUGGGAAACAGGUUAAUAUUCCUGUACUUGGUGUUACUGCGAAGGGGGGACGGAGAAGGCUAUGUUGGCCGGGCGACGGUUGUCCCGGUUUAAGCGUGUAGGCUGGUUUUCCAGGCAAAUCCGGAAAAUCAAGGCUGAGGCGUGAUGACGAGGCACUACGGUGCUGAAGCAACAAAUGCCCUGCUUCCAGGAAAAGCCUCUAAGCAUCAGGUAACAUCAAAUCGUACCCCAAACCGACACAGGUGGUCAGGUAGAGAAUACCAAGGCGCUUGAGAGAACUCGGGUGAAGGAACUAGGCAAAAUGGUGCCGUAACUUCGGGAGAAGGCACGCUGAUAUGUAGGUGAGGUCCCUCGCGGAUGGAGCUGAAAUCAGUCGAAGAUACCAGCUGGCUGCAACUGUUUAUUAAAAACACAGCACUGUGCAAACACGAAAGUGGACGUAUACGGUGUGACGCCUGCCCGGUGCCGGAAGGUUAAUUGAUGGGGUCAGCGCAAGCGAAGCUCUUGAUCGAAGCCCCGGUAAACGGCGGCCGUAACUAUAACGGUCCUAAGGUAGCGAAAUUCCUUGUCGGGUAAGUUCCGACCUGCACGAAUGGCGUAAUGAUGGCCAGGCUGUCUCCACCCGAGACUCAGUGAAAUUGAACUCGCUGUGAAGAUGCAGUGUACCCGCGGCAAGACGGAAAGACCCCGUGAACCUUUACUAUAGCUUGACACUGAACAUUGAGCCUUGAUGUGUAGGAUAGGUGGGAGGCUUUGAAGUGUGGACGCCAGUCUGCAUGGAGCCGACCUUGAAAUACCACCCUUUAAUGUUUGAUGUUCUAACGUUGACCCGUAAUCCGGGUUGCGGACAGUGUCUGGUGGGUAGUUUGACUGGGGCGGUCUCCUCCUAAAGAGUAACGGAGGAGCACGAAGGUUGGCUAAUCCUGGUCGGACAUCAGGAGGUUAGUGCAAUGGCAUAAGCCAGCUUGACUGCGAGCGUGACGGCGCGAGCAGGUGCGAAAGCAGGUCAUAGUGAUCCGGUGGUUCUGAAUGGAAGGGCCAUCGCUCAACGGAUAAAAGGUACUCCGGGGAUAACAGGCUGAUACCGCCCAAGAGUUCAUAUCGACGGCGGUGUUUGGCACCUCGAUGUCGGCUCAUCACAUCCUGGGGCUGAAGUAGGUCCCAAGGGUAUGGCUGUUCGCCAUUUAAAGUGGUACGCGAGCUGGGUUUAGAACGUCGUGAGACAGUUCGGUCCCUAUCUGCCGUGGGCGCUGGAGAACUGAGGGGGGCUGCUCCUAGUACGAGAGGACCGGAGUGGACGCAUCACUGGUGUUCGGGUUGUCAUGCCAAUGGCACUGCCCGGUAGCUAAAUGCGGAAGAGAUAAGUGCUGAAAGCAUCUAAGCACGAAACUUGCCCCGAGAUGAGUUCUCCCUGACUCCUUGAGAGUCCUGAAGGAACGUUGAAGACGACGACGUUGAUAGGCCGGGUGUGUAAGCGCAGCGAUGCGUUGAGCUAACCGGUACUAAUGAACCGUGAGGCUUAACCUU